rnacentral:sRNA from 1 species
UGGGUAACAGAGCAAGACUCUGUCUCAAAAUAAAUAAAUAAUAAAUAAAACACUGGGUACAAUUUUGCUAAUAGUGGCUUAUUCACAGAUAUAAAUAAAGUAUUAGCAUAAAUUGUAGCCUUAAAAAAGGCUUUUAAAUGUCCUUUUAUAUAGAAUUUUACAUGUUCUUCAAAAAAUAGUAUGUAAUUGAGAUAAAGAUUAGAAGGGAAUAUGUAGAAAUAGAAAUAAUUAUGUUAGAGUGAUAGGAUUAUGUAAUUUUUUCUUUGUAUUUACUCAGUUCAUCAAACUUUCUAUUAUACCCUGAAUAUACUGAUUAUAUUACCUCCUACACUUACUCAAAAUCUUUUUUUUUUUUCCUCAGGUGGCGACAUGUCUAAGAAUGUGAGCCAGUCACAGAUGGCAAAAUUGAACCAACAAAUGGCCAAAAUGAUGGAUCCUAGAGUUCUUCAUCACAUGGGUGGUAUGGCAGGACUUCAGUCAAUGAUGAGGCAGUUUCAACAGGGUGCUGCUGGCAACAUGAAAGGCAUGAUGG